UCUGUAAAGGAUGAAAAACCCGAAGUGAGGUGCUGAACAGCUAUGCCAUGGGUAACUGGGAGUCGGGGGAGGGCAGAGUAUUGCAAAGGAAUGCAGAAUACUGUCUGCAGAUUUGCUUAUUUUUAACUUCUGCUUGUUUUAGAAAACUGCAAGCAAAGGGAUUUCAACCUCCACUGAAGCUAAGAAACACUCGUACUGAAAAUCAAAAGGGGAACAGAGCAGAAAAGUAUUUUGCUUCCUUGCUUAGAACAGGACCUCAUAGAUGACCAAAGAGGACAAGUUGAUGCACAACAAAGAGUCCCAACAAAACGAGUUGUCCUGAGGGAGCAAAGGAGGUAACGAGAAAAGGAACCACAAGGAAACCAAGUGAGAAAAGAGAAGGAGUGCAAGUAAGAGCCAAGGAUAAAAAACAGCAGCAAGGAGCAGGAGGGAAGCACUACAGAGUGAGCCCCAGCAGCAUCGUCUUACCACAGCUAACGGAACAAGAAUACAGCUGCUCUUAGCCACAAAGAUACUUAACACUGAGUACAUACCACAAGAAUGUUCUCAGUGCCUAAUAUUUAUGGAUGAACAAUAGAUCAAAAGAAAUAUACAUUAAUUGUCCAUUACAUGCAUGGAGCUCUAAAUCAUGGAUAUCUUUGUAAUCUUAGAUGUUUCCAUCUCCAAUGGAAAUAUCUUUUAUAGCAGCUCUUUCAAAUAUCAUCCUGACAUUAAGGAACUGAAGUAGAAACUGCUUUUAGUUGUUU